GACGAACGCUGGCGGCGUGCCUAAUACAUGCAAGUCGAGCGGACCUCUUCGGAGGUCAGCGGCGGACGGGUGAGUAACACGUGGGCAACCUGCCUGUAAGACUGGGAUAACACCGGGAAACCGGUACUAAUACCGGAUAAUCCUCUUCCUCACAUGAGGGGAAGCUGAAAGACGGUUUCGGCUGUCACUUACAGAUGGGCCCGCGGCGCAUUAGCUAGUUGGUGGGGUAACGGCCCACCAAGGCGACGAUGCGUAGCCGACCUGAGAGGGUGAUCGGCCACACCGGGACUGAGACACGGCCCAGACUCCUACGGGAGGCAGCAGUAGGGAAUCUUCCGCAAUGGACGAAAGUCUGACGGAGCAACGCCGCGUGAGCGAAGAAGGCCUUCGGGUCGUAAAGCUCUGUUGUCAGGGAAGAACACGUACCGGAGUAACUGCCGGUACCUUGACGGUACCUGACCAGAAAGCCACGGCUAACUAUGUGCCAGCCGCCGCCGUAAGAC
rnacentral:rRNA from 1 species